AUUGAACGCUGGCGGCAGGCUUAACACAUGCAAGUCGAGCGAGCGGCGGACGGGUGAGUAAUGUCUGGGAAACUGCCUGAUGGAGGGGGAUAACUACUGGAAAAGGUAGCUAAUUCCGCAUUGCAUCCGAUUUUCCCAGAUGGGAUUAGCUAGUAGGUGGGGUAAUGGCUCACCUAGGCGACGAUCCCUAGCGGGUCUGAGAGGAUGACCAGCCACACUGGAACUGAGACACGGUCCAGACUCCUACGGGAGGCAGCAGUGGGGAAUAUUGCACAAUGGGCGCAAGCCUGAUGCAGCCAUGCCGCGUGUGUGAAGAAGGCCUUCGGGUUGUAAAGCACUUGCAGCGAGGAGGCGUUACUCGCAGAAGAAGCACCGGCUAACUCCGUGCCAGCAGCCGCGGUAAUUC
rnacentral:rRNA from 1 species